AUUGAACGCUGGCGGCAGGCCUAACACAAGCAAGUCGAGCGGAUGAAGGGAGCUUGCUCCUGGAUUCAGCGGCGGACGGGUGAGUAAUGCCUAGGAAUCUGCCUGGUAGUGGGGGAUAACGUCCGGAAACGGGCGCUAAUACCGCAUACGUCCUGAGGGAGAAAGUGGGGGAUCUUCGGACCUCACGCUAUCAGAUGAGCCUAGGUCGGAUUAGCUAGUUGGUGGGGUAAAGGCCUACCAAGGCGACGAUCCGUAACUGGUCUGAGAGGAUGAUCAGUCACACUGGAACUGAGAUACGGUCCAGACUCCUACGGGAGGCAGCAGUGGGGAAUAUUGGACAAUGGGCGAAAGCCUGAUCCAGCCAUGCCGCGUGUGUGAAGAAGGUCUUCGGAUUGUAAAGCACUUUAAGUUGGGAGGAAGGGCAGUAAGUUAAUACCUUGCUGUUUUGACGUUACCAACAGAAUAAGCACCGGCUAACUUCGUG
rnacentral:rRNA from 1 species